rnacentral:rRNA from 1 species
UUCGGGGGUAAACGGACAGAGCCCGUGAAUCCGGGCGGCAAAAUUCAGAAUCGAUGGCCGGCAACGGUCGUCGGUUUAAUAUUUUUGUCGCCGCGGACGUCGCGACCCGUUUGGUGUCGGUCUUAGGAGUCGUGUUUUCGUUCGCCGCCGCGUGCUCUCGGGUGGCGCGGUGGUGAGUGCGCGAUUUUCCGGCUGACUCGCCAGACGGUACUAGAGGUGGCCUUCGUCGUCCUUUAGGCGGCGAACGGUACCGGUCUGCGACGAAUUUUCGGGCCUCUUUCCGACCCGUCUUGAAACACGGACCAAGGAGUCUAACGUGCGCGCGAGUCGCGGGGUGUCGAACGGUGGAACGGCCUUUCGGGGUCGGGCUGCCGUUCGUUAUAGCACGAAACCCGUACACAGAAGGCGUAAUGAAAGUGAAGUGGGAAGAUGACGUUACCGAGUACACGUUCCUCGACGUUCGUGUCGAGGCCGGUCGUCCGCACUCCCAGGGCGUCCCAAUGGCCCGUUGGUGUUGCGGAUCGUCGUUUCGGCGGCGGUCGGGCAUCCGCGAACCGGGGCGCACCUAUAGCGUGCACGUUGGUACCCGAAAGAUGGUGAACUAUGCCCGGCCAGGAUGAAGUCAGGGGAAACCCUGAUGGAGGUCCGCAGCGAUUCUGACGUGCAAAUCGAUCGUCUGAGCUGGGUAUAGGGGCGAAAGACUAAUCGAACCAUCUAGUAGCUGGUUCCCCUUCCAAA